GAAGGUGGCAAGCGUUGUUCGGGAAUCACUGGGGCUUAAAGCGCGCGUAGGCGGAAUGGACAGUGUCCUGUGAAAUCCCCCCGGGCUUAACCGAGGGAAUUGCGGGGCAUACUACCAUUCUUGAGGCAAGUAGGGGUGCAUGGAACUCUUGGUGGAGCGGUGGAAUGCGUAGAUAUCAAGAGGAACGCCGAUGGAGAAAUCAGUGCACUGGGCUUGAUCUGACGCUGAGGCGCGAAAGCGUGGGGAGCGAAAGGGAUUAGAUACCCCUGUAGUCCACGCCGUAAACGAUGUCUACUAGGUUGUGAAUGUUCUGACACAGGCACAGCCGAAGCAAAAGUGUUAAGUAGACCGCCUGGGGAGUACGGCCGCAAGGCUA
rnacentral:rRNA from 1 species